UGAUGUUAUUGGGUCACAGCUGGAAGUAUAUUAGUCAGUUUAAGAAAAGAGAACAAUUCUGUGCUAGACAUAUAAUGCUUUAUUCUUGCUAUCCAAGAUUUCUUUUUAUUUUAGAAUUAUUUAAAACUUUUUUUGAAUACAUUUUUACAUGUAUUGCCAUAUUCGACCUAAUAAACAGCACUUUCCUGGCUACCCCUAAAGCGCACCCCCAACUUUUUCAUGAAAAGAUGAUGGGUGUGCUCUUACAAACAUGAAAAGUUCCUUCUCACUGAUUGUUAAUACAAUCUUAAGUCAUUUAACCAAAGAUAAUGGAUUGUUUUCACUAUAGAAAGGUGAGUAAAUGAAAAAAAACCCCACCUUUUUAUCCCUGAUUUUACAUGGAAACUUUUGCCUGUACAUCGUUUUAAUAGUUCCCUGUUUUGUGUUUUUGUAACUGCAUAGUGCACUUAUUAGGUCGAAUACAGUAAUUGAUUUAUUAAUAUUAAGAUAAUUUGGUAAUCAUACUUAAUAUAAUAAAACAGUAAAGUGUCCUUACUUAAAGGUCAUUGUAGGUUUGAUUAACCUAGGAAUCGCAUUCUGCUCGUCUCACAGUCGCUUGGAAUUGUCUCUAUAUGAUUUAGUGUAGUCCUUAAGAUAAAGCUACAAAGUCCCGUGAGAUUGAUGUAAGCCCACUCUUGAGUUUGAUGUAAGCCCACUCUUGAGUUUGAUGUAAGCCCACUCUUGAGUUUGAUGUAAGCUCACUCUUGAGUUUGAUGUAAGCUUACUCUUGAGAUUGAUGUAAGCUCACUCUUAAGUUUGAUGUAAGUUCACUCUGAGAUUGAUAUAAGCUCGCUCUUGAGAUUGAUGUAAGCUCACUCUUAAGUUUGAUGUAAGCUCACUCUUGAGAUUGAUGUAAGCUCAGUCUUGAGAUUGAUGUAAGCUCACUCUUAAGUUUGAUGUAAGCUCACUCUUGAGUUUGAUGUAAGCUCAGUCUUGAGAUUGAUGUAAGCUCACUCUUAAGUUUGAUGUAAGUUCACUCUGAGAUUGAUAUAAGCUCGCUCUUGAGAUUGAUGUAAGCUUACUCUUGAGUUUGAUGUAAGCUCACUCUGAGAUUGAUAUAAGCUCGUUCUUGAGAUUGAUGUAAGCUUACUCUUGAGUUUGAUGUAAGCUCACUCUUGAGUUUGAUGUAAGCUCACUCUGAGAUUGAUGUAAGCUUACUCUUGAGAUUGAUGUAAGCUCACUCUUGAGUUUGAUGUAAGUUCACUCUGAGUUUGAUGUAAGUUCACUCUGAGAUUGAUGUAAGCUCACUCUGAGAUUGAUGUAAGCUUACUCUUGAGAUUGGUGUAAUUAUAAGCUCACUCUGAAUAUAACUUGUGUUAUACAGAAAUGUUUCAAGUCAAUGUUGUAAUGUUAAUGUUUCCCAGCAUAAUAUGUGUGAUAUACAAGUGUCCAUUUCCUCAAGGGAGGUAACUCCUACUCCAACAUCGCAUCGUAUCAUCACCAGCAUAUGAUAAUCACUUUUAUAAAGUUUUUAAUUUUCUUCCAGUUUAUUUGUUGCUUUGUCAUAUUCUCGUACAUGUAAUAUGCUUAGGUUUGAUGUUUUGUGGUUAAAAGUCAACACCUUGUGAUGAAGCUCUGUAUAUGAUCAUAUAGUUCUUCAAAGUUUUGAUAUUUUGUGCCUUGGAAGAAACCGUAAUUGUCCUAUUGUUCCUAAGUUGAUAGUAUUUUUGUAGAAGUUAAAGUUAAUUUUUUAUAUGAAACCAUUCAUGGUGUAGGUCCUAUAUAGCCCUUCAACCCCAUUAAAAUACAGAUCACCGCUACAUUCUACAUUAUGAAGAUCUGACUUUGGCUGGUAAAGGGUCAAGAUUAGUUGACAAUUCAACCAACUAAUGGAAACACAACUCUUUUUUCCCCCUUGGCAUCUGUCAUGAUUGGUUGUUUUUGAAUCGAUAUGAUCCCAGUGUCCCGAAUGCCAACCAAUGCAUUCAUUGCAAGCUCCUUCUACAACGGUAUAUUUCUCAUUUAUUGGACAAAUUGUGUGUAGUUCGUAGAUUUUCUUUUGUUAUAAUGGACACUACCGUGGAAGAAGAUAAAGUACCAUUUAAACAGAUUAGGGGCGAAUUAAAGUUUUCAUUGCUGUCUCCAUAGUCUGUUGAAUUUGUUGAACUGGCAUUAAAAGAGACAUGUUUUGAUUGGUUUAAAGAAAUCCUGUCAUGUGGUAAGCAUUGAGGUCAAAUGAAUCUGACCUUUUACUGGCCUCCAUCAGAUCUACAUAACAUGGUGUGUAAAGAUGAUCUGUAUAUUAAUCAGAUUGCCCCUAUAACACUAUAUUGAAACUGACUUGUAAGGUCUUCCCUCCACACACACCCACAUCAUAUACUUAAUGAGUUGAAGAGAUCAACAGUAUAACAUUGAGUAUACAUUUAUAUACCGUAUCUAUCCUUAAUAAACCCCUCCCCUAGUGUAAAAGUUUGAUACUGUAUUUAUCCUGAAAUAAGCCCCCUCCUCUUGUGUAAAAGUUAAGUAUCCUUUCUAUCUAUCCUCAAAUAAACCCCCUCCCCUAGUGUAAAAGUUUGAUACUUUAUUUAUCCUGAUAUAAGCCCCCUCCUCUAGUGUAAAAGUUCGAUACUGUAUUUAUCCUUAAAUAAGCCCCCUCCUCUAAUGUAAAAUUUAAGUAUCCUAUCUUUCCUCAAAUAAGGCCUCCCCUAGUGUUAAAGGUAAUAAAAUUAUCUAUUUUCAAAUAGUGAAAGUGAAGAUUGAACUUCUUUAUUUAUGUUUUACAAUAGAGAAAAUUUUUAAUUAGUAUUGUUGGUAAUGGAGACAUUUUAACAAGUUACACCCUGUUGCAGUUUGUUAGAAACCAUUUUUGAAUUUGUUCACUUUUUGAAUCUCUUCAAUACAUGUCAAUUAAUGUUACAAAUUUUUAUUAAAUUUAUUUUUCAAAAGAAAAUUAAGAAAUGAAAUGAGGCGAUAAUUGACAUAUUUGAUAUCAGUUUUCGUUUGUUAUAAGUUUGAAUAUCUCCGUUUGUGAUUUAUGGAUUUGUUGUGCAGUUUUACAGUGAGGAACAGACUUAGAAAAAUAAGUUUUGAUUCAGAAUUACGAUAGACUAAAUUGUUGUUGAUGUUUUCAGCAAAACUUUUAUAGGGAUAAUCGUUUAAAAAAGAUGUUUUUGUAAAUUUUUUAUUUUCUUUUUUUUUUUUGUUGGUUGUUGAUUUUUUGAUGUUUGAAUAUUGUUAGCAACGCAAUAAUGGAAAAUCAUCAAAUUUUAAUCAAAAUAGAGUAAUUUUGAAACAUGAUAUUUGUUAAAAAUAAGUUUUUAUGUUGUAACAGAAAAGUAAAGCAUUGACAUAAGGUAUUUUAUUGAAGCAUUGCUAUUGACAUAGCAUAUCCAGUGAAUUUUUUAUGCAUCUUGUGUCGGCUGAUAAUACAAGUUUGUUUUAAUCUUAUGAAACUGUUAAACGGAGUGGUUGGGUGGCACAGUGGUAACUUGCUCGCCUUUCAUCUUUCACUUCCUACAGAAAGACACCUGGUUUGUAUACUUUCCAUGGAUCUAAGCCAACAAAAACAAAGGACGUAAGUUUCAAGCUGAAUGUUUUUUUUAAUAUCCAAUCCUGGAAUUGAACCCCAGAAAAAAAUGAAUGAAAAUGGUGAGGGUUGAACUUCUGGGUGAUCCCAGUAAGGGCGUUAUAGGGCUGUAUUUUUUUUAAGUUAGCUGUACAUUGUUAUCCCCACUGUGUCCUAGCCAGUAUUGUUGUGUAUUUGGUUGUUAGCUGUAUAAUUCCGAGGCUCCCUAUGAUUUAUGUGAUUUUUUAACCGUAGGACAUUGUUAAAAUUAUUGUUUGAAUAGUGUUAAGAUUUUGCAAUAACCAUAUAUAUUGAGAUAUUAAAGCUUUUAAGUGCUGAAUACUGGCUUUAGGCAUAUAUACACUAUUGUUCAAAUACCUUUAUUUUGUAUAUAAUAUUAAAGAAGCUGGAAGAUUUUAUUAACAGCUACAGUGUAAAUAUUAGAUUAGAUUGAGCUUUAGGAGUUAAUCUUCCUUUAGUUGAGAACUUUUUAUCCGAUCAUUUUUGUCUCUCCUCCCAGAACAGUAGAGCUCUGCAUAACCUUACUGCUUUGGGGACAUGUAAUAUGUUCGGUCUUCUACGCAGUUGUUCAGACUUCAUAACAAUAGGUAAGCGUAUUAAAUUAUAUGGUGGGGUCACCGAAGGAGUUUUGAAUAAUUUAAAGUUUAUAUUAAAUUAUGCUGUGUUCCACACAGUACUGAAUAAACAUUUUUAUUGUAAUUGUAUAAAUAUUUCAAAAAUUUUAUAGAAAAACAGUUGGGAUCAAUUUCUGUAAACAAACACUGGACACUGUGCUUUUUGGUGUUAUUCACUGAUACAACUGAUGUGUCACAUUUCUCCUCAUGCAGGCCUCUAUAUUCUCCUAAUGUUUAUCUGUAACCAAGGCAAUGUAGUAACCAACUAAAGAAUAAAAAUGUGAUUAACCCAUUUUUCCAACUUACUUAAUUACUAAUUGGGGAUACAUGAUACUUACAUAUAAGUGAUGCUUUUAAUAUACAGAUUUUUUUUUCAUAAAACUUUUUAUUUUAAUAUAAAAAUUCUAUUGCUAUUGAUAAAGGCAAGCAUUCAUUAUUUUCUGAAGGAGCAAAGCAUGUUAUAAAAAAAACCUGAAAAAAAUACAACAUAUCGAUUGAUGGAUGAUAUACUUUGGGUAAAGUCUUCCCAUAUGUUUGUAUUAUAUUAUGAACAGCUCCAGUUAAUGACCCCAUCUAAAACCCUGUGACUGGUGACUAAAUGGUGACGUUGUAGGGCAUUUUCACACUAUCAGGUUGUUACUGUAUCGACAAAUGGUGAUUGUGGUUUACUCUUAAUCACAGUUUUAUAUCUGUUAGUCUAAAGGCAUUUUGUUUUGCUUUAAAUAUUACCAAAAGGUACUGAAAGUGUGGAAAUUUAUACUAAGAGGAAAUUUAGGCUGAAUACAGAAACGCUAUUAAGGAAAAAUUUCCCCAUACCAAUUAUUUUCUGAUGCGUGCCAUAUUUAUGGAACAGGUGCAAAGAAAAAUUCGGGGAAAUAUCCCCCAUAUAGUUUACGUGUCGAGAAUCAAAAUUAAAUCCCUACGGAAAUAACCACGUUAACAGUACUAUUUCAAGCAAUAUAUAAACAAACAGCAUCAAAAUGAGAGAGGAGUUCCAAGACAGGGGAGGUAACUCAGAACCUUAAAAUGAUCAUUGAUCACAAAUGGUGUGGCACCAUUUAUCAGAGAAAUUAAUCCCAUCUUUUAAAGGCUGGUUUUAGAUUAUGAAAAAUUCCUUAUCCUCAAACAGACAAUUCAAUGUUUCCUGAAUAUGAGUUUACAGAAUAUGUUGAUAUUGAAAUUGUUAACAAAGAAACACAUUGUUGCCAGAUGUUCAACAUGUAAUGAAUUAAGAUAUGAAAAACAGAGCUUUUUAUCGCCGCUCUACAUGUGAUAGUUGACGUUAAAUAUUUUGUAUUAUUUGGUGUUAAUUGGCUCUGUGUUAAGUUUUUGUGAUGGAAAUGUCAAUGAUUGAUUACAAAGGGAGAGACAACAACAUUAUUAAUGAAGUAUAUUUGAUAUACUAGAUAUUAAAGGUAGGUUUAUUUCUGGAUAUUUAUGUUUACAAAGAAUUAAUUAUUAUUAAAUAUGUAUGUUAUAUUAGUAAAAUUGUAUCAUUAGUUGAGUAGGUCUACAUCCAUGUUAAACAUGGAUUUGGAAUUCAUAAUUCAUGUACGUCAUAAAAAUUAAAAUCUAUUGCAAUAUUGACCAACACAAGUGGACUACCUUAGGUGUUAAUAUGAAGUUUUAAAGUCCACUAAGCAUCAUAUUCAUUAUGUUUACAAAGGUAAGAUAGUACACAUAACCACGAAAAUCAAAUUUGCUAGCCAUGUGUGUUCGAUACGAUAUUCUCCUUUUUACUCUUUCACCCAUUUUGAAAGAGGAUUGUAUUGCACCCACUUGGCUAGCAAAGUUGCAUAAAGAAAACCUCAAACUGAUUAAUAUUAGUCAUAAUCACUUGAAUGUUUUAAUGUCCAAUAAAUGAAACAGUAUGUUACAAACAUUUAUGUGAGCUAUGUAGUAUGUUACAAACAUUUAUGUGAGCUAGCCCUACCUGUAAAAGUCAUUUAGGCUUUGAAAUGUUUAUCAAAAUAUUCAAAUGUAGACUAUUUUUCAUUGUAUUAGAUGCAGAAUGUCUUGUGCCAUGUUUUGUGUAAGUAUGGCCUGAGUUAUGAUGGUCAAAUUUAUUUUGUUGUGAUGAUUACUUGUAACAAAGUUUGCUCAGCUUCUUCUGUGAAAGGAUUUGUUUGUGUGAAAGAAAAAAUGAAUUUAUGAAAAAGGAUAGGGUGUAAGUUAAUGUGGAAAUUUUCUUCAAGAAUCUCAUUGCAAAUCGUAAUAAUAUAUAUAUACGUCUACAUCUAAAUUCAAUACAACAACUCCGAUAGAAUGUACCGUUGCGAUGUAAGAAUUCUAAAACAGGUCGGAUAUUUUGGCCAAAAUGUUAAUUUAGAGAAACAAUUUAAAUUGGCUGGGUAAGGUAAAGGUUUACAGCCAUAUCUGAUAUAGUUCAUGUUAAGUAAUUUUUUCUCUGGAUAUAGACACAGUUCGUAAACCUUUUUCUUUCUUUGGCUAAAUGAGACCUCGCUGGUCAUUUUAGAUAAGCCGCCUCUCAGCACUUUAACUGAACUAAUAGGUUAGUUCUACAAACACUGUUUACUAAUGAUGUCAUUUGAGGUGUAGGUAUUCACCAUUUCUUGAUGUUGACAAUAUGAGCUAAAAGAAACAUCCACAUUACAAACCUGUACUAUGAUGGGAAGCCAUGGUGUCAGUGUUUCCUCUGACCCUGAUGCCAUGUCUGGUCCUACACCAGACAUGGUGACAGGGCCAGAGGAUACUUGGGCCAUGGUGCCGGGAUGUGUACAUGUGUAAUUGAUUGUGUGUGUGGAGAAUAUCUGAAGGUGUGUUUUGAGGGGUGUCUUGUGUGGAUACUGUAAACAUACCUCUUUUGGCGGACUCAAAAUUUGGCGGACUCAAAGUUUAACAUACAACUGAAUUUAAAUUGAUUGGUGUGGCUGAAUUGUUGCAUCCACAAUAUGUGCUGUAUAGGCACAGUCAUAAUUUAGCGGAUGUUUUUGUCCCAUAAAAUCGGUAAAAUAAAACUACAGCUAAAAUUUGUAUGUUUUCAGUAUGUAUAUGUGUGUGUAAGGUGUGUGUUGUGUGUAGAUAUGCCGUGUGGAUGACUAUAUGGAGGACGCCUUUGAUUGAGUACUUGUGAUAUAUCUAUAUAAGAGUGUGAUUGUGUUAUAAGAUGUCAUGUGUUGUGAGAUUUUAACUACGCUAAUAUCAUGGUCAUGCAGAAUCUGAUUUUGUGAUUUUGACUUCUGCUUAUUUUGUGUAUAAUAACCUUGUGUUAUAUGGACCCCGUGAAGCUGUAGGCCUGUAAUAAACUUAUAUAAUUUGCCACUG